rnacentral:misc_RNA from 1 species
UUCUGUAAUUAAUCAAUAAUGGACCACAUUUUGAGACAGCUUAACAAACUCACCAAAACCAAAGCUACUGGUGAUCACUACUCUAUAUCACAGGAAUACUGUCAGGAACUGGGUCUGAAGAAUGUUGCUCUCCGCUCUCACCAACUGGAAGGUCUCAAGUGGUUAUCAGAGUGUCAUGAGAGGGGGCAGCAUGGCUGUAUCUUAGGGGAUGAAAUGGGACUAGGGAAAACACUUCAGUCCAUAGCUCUACUACUUUAUCUAUGAGAUGCUUCCUCCUCUCCUCCUCCUCCAUUCAUUGUCAUAUGUCCUCUCUCUGUUGUUAGUGGAUGGGAGAAAGAGUUACAAAGGGCAUCACCUCAGUUAAGAGUUCUUAAUUUUUGUGGAGAUAAAGAAACGAGAGGCU